rnacentral:lncRNA from 1 species
CGAAGCAAUAAUUUCGAUAGCAGUCCGAAUGCUAACUAUACUCGAUACGCGUGCAACGUUUUUGAGAUAUUAUAAACUCUUGAGAUGUCGUCCUAGAAAGAAAUGCAUGUUCUAAAGUUUGAAAGAGACUUUGCAGAAAUCUCAUAGAUUUUGGCUUUUAAUAUUACGAGAAGGAGGGGUCAUAAAAUUUAUAUAUCUCAAAUAAUAAUGGAUUUAUCGUUGAUAAAUUCUGACAUCUUCCUAUUACUCGAUACAUCUUACACUCUGCUUGAACAGAAAAAUUGGGUGGAGCGGGGUGAGAAACAUCUUUCGUUCUAUGUGCCGUGUGGCAGGUGUUCCGAUUUCGAUCGUAGAUAGAGAAACACUUCAUGCGGCAGCAAACUGCUAUCAAAAAUCUCCGAAACUUUUGCAUUUUAAAUAAAAAUCAGAAAUAAAAAUUACACAUAAUUACAGAUGUUUAUCUUAUCAUGAAUCCCUCUUCCUCUCCCUCCCACGGCAUAUGAUUGCUUAUAAAGAUUUGUUAAAAAGUCCGAGAGGUACAUUUUAUUAUAAUUAUUUUGAAAGAUUUCAAUUCUAUAUAAUUUCAACCAACGUAACAUUAAUUAUCAAAUGCAUCAUGUCCUAUAGAAAAUUUAUUGCAGCUCCUCUAUGAGUAGAAAGCUUGCUCGGUUGAGCUAACAAGACAAUCGCCGUUCACCACUGCGACAACGUGUCUUCGUUCCAUUGCUGCUAGAUGGAAGCACUGUGAAUGAAAGAGGUAGACAUAGCGCUAUUAAGGGGGCGGUGCGCCACCCGGACCCCUGGCCCCUCGGUCCGAUCGAGGAUUCAUGGCUGGCACGAAGAGGAAGAGGUACGUUGUACACGCAGGCGGUCAGAGGCAGAGGCCGAGAGGCAGUGACGUUGGCGGUGGCGGUGGCAGUAGCGAAGGCAGAGACAGAGAGAAAAAGAGAGACAUCGCGGACGAUGGAACGGCGGAAGAGGAUGAAGAGGGAUGGCCGGAAGAAGGGGACAGGGCGAAGAGUAGCAGCAGCAGGAGCGCGGCGGGGUGGAAAGGAGAUACGAAAAUGGAGAAAAGGAGGAAAAAAGAAAAGUAAAAGGAAAAAGGAAGAGCUGGGCUGCCGGGCAAAUUAUAGGGAAAAACGGGGUGGGUAGCUCGCGGCGUGGCGUCGCGCCGUGCCGCGGAGAGGAAGCCAGCCCCGUAUGGCUGCGCGACUCCGCGCUCUACUCGGAGGAGGACGACGACGAGGUGGAAGAAGAGAAUGGAGGGGCUGGGAGGGAAGGAGAGGGUGGCGCCACGGCGAUUCCGAGCUCGCGUUAACGUUCCCCACGGAGUACGGCGAGGAUACCGGCGAGGAGGCAGCAGCGCGCGCGGAGCAGCAGCAGAUUCAAAGAGGGCCCGGGCGCGCGAGCGGAGGCUCUUCUGCCUCCCCUUGUCCGCGUGUUCCGCGCACACGGUAAUUGACGAGAAAGUGACGAAGGAGACCGCGAAGAGAGAUAGAGAGCGGGAGCGAGAGAGAGAAAGAAACAAGGGAGAGGAUAAGCGCUCGCGGAGGGCGACGCGCGACGCGAGAGGGAGGACGGAGGGAUCGGCGAGCGAGAAAGAGAGAGAAAGACAGCAGGAGGGGGUAGAGACACACAAGUACAGUACGCACCUCUCUCUUACGUGUUACGUGCGGUCAGUGCGAGAGGCUGCGACGUGCCGCGAGCAUGCGUCUGCGACGAACGGCCCUUAAGGCGAACGAGCAGCACGCCGACUCGCCUUCGUCGCGGUUGUCGCCUUCACCUUCAUCGUCGUCGUUGUUGUCAUCGUCGUCGUCGUCAUCAUCGUCAUCGUCAUUAUCGUCUUAAAUCACGCCCGCAUCACAUCUCGCGAAUGAUCCUCCUGCCGCGGGGGACCACGUAGUUGCAUCGAGCGUUGAGGGGGGUCGUAGUGGGACGGAUGCACGGUCGCCGUCACGCGUCGACCGACGUGGCCGGCGGAAAGGGGUACCGUGUCGCGCCUCGUCGCAGUGGUGUUCGUGAAAAUUGACGCUCGCGCCGAAGCCACGACCGCGCGUCCUUCCACGUUUCGCCAACCACGUUCGUGCGACCCGCGUCCUCGCUCGCCCGCUUGCUCGCUUACGCGCCGGAGCGCGCGCGCACCAGUGAACAUGAGACCGGCGGCGACUCCGAGCGGCCGCGCGGGGUGCCGCGCCGCGUCGACGUUCUGUGUCCCGAUGUCGCGAUAACGUCGCGAGUACUGUGCGUAUGUUUAUUCGUCACGAGUGCCAUUCAGCCAGUGCGCUCGCCGCGAUGAAUGCAGCCGGCCGGCCUAGAGGAGGCCUCGCGCAGCCCGCGUGCAACAUUGACGUGUAGCUGCACUCGCGGUUUCUCCUCUCGUGAUCGAACUCGGCGGGAUGUCGGGGAUCCUACGUGCGUCUGCCUCGCGUUAGACACGGCGUCUGCCCAAAAACACACACUUGAUCGAGUCGAGAACACUCGAGAGAUGGAGUCGUGAUCGUAAGAGGAUCUGCGGUUUUUCCGGCAGCCAGGAGAUUGUCCGGAGUGCAUGCGCUCCCGACAAGGCAAAAGGGAAAGCAAGGAGUCGACCGGUGUCGCGAUCGACGUGUGUACUGCACCUUGUGCGUCCUCCGUGGGGAAUUUGCGCGUAUUUCAGGGUCGCUCCCUCGAGCGACUCCUGGCACGACCCGACGUGGGACCGGACCCCGAGUCCGGAAUCGUCUGCAUCGCAACGAUUAUUAGGCAAAUCGGCAAACUGGACGCGGAGAUCAGCAGUGGCGGCGGGAGUGGCCGCAGGGGUGUCAGUCCGACACCCCUCAGCAGUAUAAACCCGGUAAGUGUACACGAUGCAUCCAUCGCCGAGGCGGACGAACGUGGAGCGUUGAUCGCGGGAUGGCUAGCUGGUCACGCGCAUGCCGACUUCCAAGUAAGCACUACGGCUAUCGUUAUCGCAGGUACAUAUUACACCGUAAGAAAUUCGAGGGAGAGAAAUGCGCGAAUGGCUUUCUAGGGUUACUAAUUCGCUGAUCGCGCGGCAGUCUCUCGCCUCACGCUCGCGGCGCGGCGUCUCGUAUUCGCACGAGAAUUUUCAAUCAUCACCUCGUUUGUCCCGUAAUUUCUUGCACGGCGUAGCUCGCGACAUCGUAAUUUCCAAUUUCAUCGAGCCGCAAAAAAUCGCGCGCGCGCGGAAAUGCAGCAGACGCUGAAUAUUCAUGAUAUAUUCAGACGCGAAAUGAUACGAUACGUCUCGUUCGGUAGCAGCAGCGUGGUAUCGCCUCCGUGCAUUCGGAGGAGAAAACGCGUGAAUUCAUGCUAUCGCGGAAUCGCGACGUUUCCGGUUCCGUCUCGAAAAGUGCCGCCCAAGCGCGAAAGACGCGCGCGGCCGGAGCAGGGAGGUCCCGCGCGCGAAAGCGGAACGUCGGCCGAACUUUCAUUCGGAUCUCAGGAUCUCCUUCACCCGAGUCUCCCCGAGCGAGACUAAACUACGUUAAACGAGUGCAUCCGACGAGAUCGCGGGAGAUCUCAACAUUUUUCGCUCGGCAUCGCACUCGAGGAUGCCCGAGCGGUGCACGAUCGACGCUAUCGCAGUCACUUGAUUUUCGGCAAGCGACGGGUGACGGGUAAUUAACGGGUUGCGCCGUAACGCAUGCCUACACGCGCGAAAUGUAUGCGUCGGCGUUUUCUCUCUCCUUUUCCUCUUCCUCGCCCCCAAGCCCCUCCUCUGCACGCGCGCGAGACGCGCUGCAUACCGGUAACGCGCGGCGAGAUGUUGCAUAUGCAUGCGUCGAUCGAUGUGAAUGCAUCGUUGCAUGCUAAACGGCCGCCGGCCUAUCUGAUCUGCCCAUUUUCCUUUCGGCCGCGAAAGGUAUCCGCGGCGGCGCCGCCGUCGAUGCGGAAACUCAUCGUGUGAAUCUCCGAUUAUCGUCCGGUUCGCCGCCCUUAUUAACCUCACACCGUACUUACAAUGUGUCAGAUUCAUGCUUGGACUCAUCGUACCUAGAUCCUGGUUUCUCAACGUAGCUGCGGCAUCCCGUGUGUGUGAUGAAUCUCGUGUUCCGACCGAAGAAUAGCGUGUAUCGAGACGAGAUCAUCCCGCGUUCCUCUCCUCCAGAACGCGUCCGUAUAUUCGCCAUAUUAAACGGACUAGAAGGCGGUUCUGCACCGUGCGAAGGCGAUUUUAUCUUUUGAAUUUUAGGUUCCCUUCGUUCGUGCCGCGCGCGCAGGACGAAGGGUAUAUCUUCUUUUCGCCUAUUUCUUCACACUUUCUUCUUUUUCCGAGUCCUCUUACGUGGCGAGAGAUCUCCUCGGCUGCGAAGCAAUCUGGCAACUUUGUUGUGAACAACAGAUUGGCCAGUGUCUGCGUGGAUGUGGACCAUGCACGGGCACUGCAACACGUCGUCGUUUAUCCUUCGCCUCGAAGCAACAAUGGAUCACCCAGCGGCAGUAAUGCGAUUACGAAAGUCCGCGCUCGUUGGACAAUGGUCGCCCGACGAACAGCGAUAUCUGUAAUGAACCGCGGACUAGUCGAUGAUGGACGUAUCGCCGCGAUCGAUAAUUGAGACGCUAGACCGACUCGAACGCGCGCCGGGUCUUUAUCCAAGGGGUAUCUUGUACAAUUAUAGAAGGCACGCCAACUUUUAUGGGCAAAGGUAGCGGGUAUCUGUCCGGGGGAUCGAUACCUAAUUAGGUCGAGCCUCGCGAGGAUACGACGGCCAUGUAUUCUCGCGUAUCGCGCCUAAUUAUCGCAGAAAUCGACCGGCGCUAUUGACACGUACACUGAGAUCCGCGCUUCGAUCUCGGACAGACGCUACACUCGCACGGCCGCUACGGUAAUUACUAGAGCGCGUUUAAUGCUCGAGCCGGGGAAUUUUACGAUGUAUGUUUUGUGAAAAGCCUUCCAAUCAUCCCCGUUUCUUUCGUUUAUCUUUCUUUCUCCCCGAGCACGCCGCGAGGAGCGGACAGCUAGCUGUCACCCCCCUUCGGGGGCCACUCUUCGCUGGACGAAGAGAUUCCGAGGGCUCAUUCGAGCGUUCCCACGUGCGGAACGCGAGAGUAAUUUUUUAAUUGUUGCGCGGCUUUUCUGCCGCUUUUAAUAACACCUUGGCGUCUGAGUUGCCUAUUACGACGAGCGCAAGACUACGUCGUUUUGGCCCGAAGCGGCCGAAUCUUCCUCCGGACCGCUCGCGUCGGCCGCUCAGGCGCGCUCGAUUUUUUAAGUGACGAGGGUACUCGGUCAUAUAUCUCCCUCGUAGGUCCGCGAAAGUUUCGACGUUUGCACGGCCCACGAAAUUACACGUUGCGCGCUGGCUCUCCGGGAUGCAGUGAUGUUUUUCAUCAUUACGAAUCCGCGUGCCCUUCCUGCCGAUUGCGGCGCAGUUAGCGGCGGACCUUCCACGUCGGAGAGGGACGCGCGCGUUACGUUAAAACGAUCCAUUAAACCUCGACAUCUCAUCCUCGCGGACACGCGUGUACGCGCGCCCGGCAUCGCGUGCGCUUGCUUCGUCCGACGACGAAACUUCGAAUUCUGAAUCGUAAAGCAGAUUAAUGGGCAAUCAUUUCUCCCGUGCGCGCCCACGUAAAUACCUCGCUUCUCGUAUAUCGCCCCGUCUCUCUAUUAUCAAUCAUCGCGUUAGAGCUCGCGAGGGGCCUUAAAAGCCACGGGUUCAAGGAGGAUGGCCUCGGGAAGCGCUAUCGUGGCUGGCUUGUCGCGCUAACGACUGGUAAUAUCCUCCGCGACGGGGCUCGCGUCGUAUCCCACCGUCAUCUCUGCAUCUCGCGCAUUUCCAUACAAGAGUAAGGCCAUUUGAAUAUCCCUCUCCUCCUCCUCCACCUCCUCCUGCCUCUUUCCCGCUUGCCGCCCGCGCAUCGCCCCGCACGACAUCCCGCGCGUUCUUCCCGCUCGGAACCAGACGGCGCGUAUUCGCUCCGGCGAAUUACAUAGCCGACGUCGAAGCGUGGCGAUCUGAUAUCGACCUCGGGGCCGACGACGUAACGGGAUGAUGCACGUGGAGGCGGCUGGGACGAGGGGGACGAGAUGACUGGCGAAAACGUAUUAAAAUCCAUCGGCACGCCAUCGGCGAACCGCCGGCGAUCAACGGAGCGAUCGGUCCCUUCCUUCCGCUCGUCGCGCGACUGCGAUUAUCUGCAACCGAGGAUCCUACAGGGAGAAUUACGCCUUGUUUACAAAUUGUAUUUUCCUGCAGAUGAAAUAAAAAUGCGACGCGAUGGUAUCAAAGGUACUGCAUACUUCACUACUUCGCUGCGCACUUCCGCGCUUGUUUAUCACGCUCGAAGCGUGAUAAUUAAAGCGUGAAAAAGACUUCGUCGAUUCUCACGCAAGUAAGACUUGUACUCGCGAUUUGCGAAGCUGAGGAGUAUCGCGAAUGAAAUUGAGGAGAAACGCGCGUUCCAAAAAAUAUCACCGAUUAAAUAGCUCCUCUCCCUGUAAUCGAUUCUAGCCACUGAUUCAAUACCUUCCUCACUCUCUCACCGACAUUCUGCUGUACUCUUUCCCUCUCUUCGUCUACAUGUUCCUCUUGUACGACGCGAGAUGGACCGAUCGAGAUAACGCCGUGAGUCCGGGAACUGCAGUAAUUGUCGGUGAUUAGAGGAGUCAUAAUUACCGGUCCACGUAUAACGUUACCGAGUCCAUUCAUUCUCCGGUCGGUUCCUCUUCGACCUUCCUCUUCUAUUCACUUCUCUCUCUCUCCCUCUCUCUCUCUCUUUCUUUUCAAGUACAUCUCGACACGACUUCAAUUGACUAUUCUGAUUUUUACCAAUUUUUUAUGCCUCUUACUUUUCCUCUCUUGAUACAUUAAAAAAGCGGAUUUUGGCAAAACAUGUAUGUUAUAAUGCGUUAUUACACAGUUCGUUCACUGAGUUCAAAAUAUUACAAAGUUUCGUUCGAUUCUUGCUUUGAUGCCUUUGACGUCGCAAUUGCAUCGCCUAAUGAUAAUCCGGAAUCGUGAGGGAUUCCCCUUCGGCAUCGCUCUUUAGCCUGAUUAUAAAACCGUGACACAAUACAGCUCUGACGAGCUCAAUCUCUCUUCCUUUCCUCCGUCGCACGAGUUUCUCCCCAAUGUAUAACGAGUCGGAGAGUUAUUUUUGCUGGUCUCCUUUCGAUAGCUCAGCUUCAACGGCCACGACGUAGACGACGACGACGACGGCAAGUGUAGACUCGCGCACAGACGUCGCCGCUGAUGACAGGCCGAAGGUAAUAAUUAUUACAGUACGCGAAUCGCGAUUACAGGGCAGGCGCCGGUUGGCGGGCACGACGAGUCGUCGCACUGUUCGACGUCGCGGAGCGCCGAUGCAUCCGUCUGACGAAUGCGAGUCGCGACGCAGAGCGACUCUGCGUACGCGGCGCGUAUAAAACGCGCGCUUUCAUUACAUAUCCCGACACGCGUCUCGCAACAUUGAUCCUCGAUGUAAUUUCAAUUGAUCACACACGCCACAUCCGUGGAUUGCAAACAGCUUUGCAAACUGACCUGUUUUUUUUCUUUUUUUGGCGGAGCAACUUUCUCGUAUCGCAUGUCUCUAUAACAUAAUGCAAGCGCGAGACUAUCGGUUACGCGAUCCAAUAAUGACGAUCCUGUUUUGCGAUUACCUAUAUUACAGCGACGCUGUAACGUAUGUAUUUUUUAACUAAAUCCGUUAUCUUUCUUUUGAUAAAAUAUUCUAUACGUCGUCCUCUAUAAUAUAUAUAUAAAUUGAAAGUAAUUAUCUCCUCGUAGAUUAAAUAUAAUAUACCGGGAAGAUUCACUGGUCGAUAGCUAUUAAUGAAUAUCAUCGUCUGAAUACUUUAUCGAACGUACUGUUACAUGUUUUCAAACUUGCGCUUUUGAUCGACGAUCACGUCAGAUGCUUCAAUUGUCCCGGCAGAGCUCUAACGAGCGUCUUGUAAACUUACGUAGUAAUGCAAUUAUGCAUCAAUAUUUAUCACGUGCGAGAGGCAGCCAAUUUGCCACAAGUUCAUAAUGAGCGCCGGGGAGAGAUGAGCGACCUGAUAACGACGGCCGUGUGUCUACUUUAUUGCAUUAUAAUUAGGGUAGUACUCGCCGAGCAUAAAAUUCCGACCACACGAUCGCGAUGCCGAUAUCUGCAGCCUAAUCUCUUGCUCUCUUUCUCCCUGUGGUCUUGCGCAUGUACACACCGUACGUUUUCAGGAACACAUUAUUACGAUUGCCAACCAGACGAAGAACCUCGUUUAGACUCGGCGAUCUUUUUUUCCCUCCUGUUCGCUAACAAUCGUUGACGCAAUGCAGGAAUCACAUGAUUUUACAGUUUGGAGUCGAGAAAACGGAAACGUUAACGACACUCAUUUCCUUUAUCGUCUCUUUACGAUGACGUAAUACCUGAUGUGUUGCUCUCGAUCAGACAAGUUUCGCUUUCGUAUCACACGAAGAAAGUCGACAAAAGGUCGAAUUGAAUUAUUACACCACUGCCAAUCUAUCUGCGAGCAAGAUUGCGUCAUGUCGCGGCUUAAAGAUCGACAUGUGCCUUCUCUCUUUCCACCGCGGGCGACGCGAGCGAGUCGAAGAUCAGCCUCGCCGCGGAUCCCCGCUGGGGGUACUUCCCAAUCUGGUGUCGAGCGUGUAAGCGCGACGUAAAGCUCCGGCCCGAGCCGGCGGACACGCCCGCUAAUUGUAUGAAUUAUGUAUGCGGCUUCGAGAGACUCUUGCCAACACGCGCCGGGAGGACCAGCGCGGCGCGGCACGAUGUCGAUGUCCCGACUUCGCUCGUGCGCGUCGUCGCAUCUCGAAGCAAGCAUCUCGCAGCGUCCCGUUCGCGAGGAUGACGCGACAAACCCGAUCGACAGGCAAAACAGGAAGAAAUACGAAAAGGGAAGAUUGGAAGCGAAAUGGAGCGGAGAGCGAAGCGCUCAAGAGGGAACGACGCGUUUUACGAGCGCGGUCUUCCGCCCGGUCGCCCCGCGUUAUUGAGAUUAACAAGCAGCCAUUUCACCCGGGAUGGGACGUCUCGAUGUAGAAUCGCAGUCGAGGAAGUCGGCGAUCUAUCACCCGUGCAGGAAAGCUGUGUCGUGAAAAAAGGGAAAAUAUAGGGGAGAAAGAGGGAAUCUCGUUCCUCGGGGAUGUAUAUGGUCGUCGUUCACGGGAGCGUUGCGACGUACAGAUCGGCAUCGAUUGGCAUAAUCAAACACCCACGUGUUCGCGGAGAUUACGAGGGUUGUGGAGGUUCCACUCCUCAUGAUAAUAUACGUAUAUUAUUGUUAUCUCUAAUUGUUUAUUGUUAGCAGUUAACAAUUGAUAAUAGUUUCGAAUCAGUAAUGCAACUUGCAUUUUAGUGACCGGCCGGGUUAGACAGGCCAUACCCUUUAUCCUAAACGCUGAUCGCUCACCCAUCCUCUUCGCGCUGACUUUGAUCGCGACAGCAGGUGUAGCGUGAUCCAGGAUCACGUUACACGCUUAGCGGACGUCUCGCCGCGAUUACCGAGAUGACAAAUAGAGAAUUUCGCGAGCGCGAUAAUUCAUCGAUGAUCGAUCGCACGCGUGUGGUAAGAGGAGAGGGGGGAGGCAGGAGGGAGACUCGCGUAUAACGAGCGUGAUUACCGAGUUCGUCGAACGUCGAAGAGCUCUUCCAGGCAUCAUCAUUUUCCCGUCUCACGGAGACAGCCGGAAUCGACGAUAGCGCUCGCUCGUGAUCGGAGCGGAAUUGCGACUUUUACGAGGCGGAUCGCGCAGAUACUCCUCCGCACGCCGACAGGUAGCCGUUUCUCGGGAAACGCCGUGAAAUAUGCGCGCCGCGCGUGUGUCGUACGUCCGCGUUACGUAACGGCCGAACACGCGAGCGGUGAAUUACGGAACGAGGAAAGAUUUACGGAUCGCGUUUACGCGAGCGAUAAUGCGCGGCGCGGAUACGAAGCCGUCCGUAGGCUUGGCGAACCGCGCGCGCACUGUACGAUUACCUCGACUUUCAAUUCGUUUCUCCUCGUGCCGGCAACAUUUGCGGUUUGAAACCACGAGGGAUCUAGGUGCCUUCGCGAUCAUGGAAAUCGGAUUCUGUUAACGGAAAUGACAUCGCGUUCGCGGAACGAUCGAUCACGCGUUUGUCGUCGAGCGACGAUCUCGCCGCGCGUUCACGACGUUCGCGUUCGUAACAACGCGAGUUUCCCUUUCCGCAUGUAACUCGGCAAUUACCCCGCGAAUCCGCGCGCGCUACUACGUAAUGACGAGUCUGGCCCGGACACCCGCUAUUGGGACGCGAGUAAGUACCAUAAUAAUGCGACUAAUGGCGCGUUAUGAAUUACAAACCGGAUAAUGAAUAAAGUAUACGUACGCGCGUUCCGCUCUCGUCCUCGCCGUGCGGAUGCCGUGGCCUACCUUUCGACGAGUCGCACGGCGAACCUGGAGCGUAUCCGUUGCUCCGUUACAGAGCGUAAUACGAAAAGACCGCAUGAAAC